rnacentral:rRNA from 1 species
GACGAACGCUGGCGGCGUGCCUAUACAUGCAAGUAGAACGCUGAAGGAGGAGCUUGCUUCUCCGGAUGAGGUGCGAACGGGUGAGUAACGCGUAGGUAACCUGCCUGGUAGCGGGGGAUAACUAUUGGAAACGAUAGCUAAUACCGCAUAAGAGUAGAUGUUGCAUGACAUUUGCUUAAAAGGUGCAAUUGCAUCACUACCAGAUGGACCUGCGUUGUAUUAGCUAGUUGGUGAGGUAACGGCUCACCAAGGCGACGAUACAUAGCCGACCUGAGAGGGUGAUCGGCCACACUGGGACUGAGACACGGCCCAGACUCCUACGGGAGGCAGCAGUAGGGAAUCUUCGGCAAUGGACGGAAGUCUGACCGAGCAACGCCGCGUGAGUGAAGAAGGUUUUCGGAUCGUAAAGCUCUGUUGUAAGAGAAGAACGAGUGUGAGAGUGGAAAGUUCACACUGUGACGGUAUCUUACCAGAAAGGGACGGCUAACUACGUGCCAGCAGCCGCGGUAAUACGUAGGUCCCGAGCGUUGUCCGGAUUUAUUGGGCGUAAAGCGAGCGCAGGCGGUUAGAUAAGUCUGAAGUUAAAGGCUGUGGCUUAACCAUAGUACGCUUUGGAAACUGUUUAACUUGAGUGCAAGAGGGGAGAGUGGAAUUCCAUGUGUAGCGGUGAAAUGCGUAGAUAUAUGGAGGAACACCGGUGGCGAAAGCGGCUCUCUGGCUUGUAACUGACGCUGAGGCUCGAAAGCGUGGGGAGCAAACAGG